UCUCCUUAAACUAAAGAACCCAGUUCUGGAAGAUUCUGACUGUCCCACGGUGCCCAGAAUGCUCAAAACCUAUUGCCCAUUAGAGUUGAGCAUAAAUGCUCAACUUACAUUGGAGCAGAAAGGAAUUCAAAAGAAGGAUCACGACAAAACAGAACAACCACCAAUACAAAAUGAUGCCAACAAAUGUUCUUAAAAGGCUCUA